CUUCCUCAAGCCUAGCGGCCGGCCGGCCGGCAGCAGCCAUGUUGUUACAGUGCACGGUGAUGGAUACAAAGACGUCUUUGAGAGUAUGAGCGCAUGCAGCAGGAGCAACAGAGCCACAAGUGGCCCUGUUGUGAUGUUGUACAUCAGUGUGUAGAAGAGGAGAGCUGAAGAUGUGAGCGCUCACCUUUACAGGACUGAUCAGUUCCAGUUCUCCUGUCCACUGUGGAGGAAGGAAGGAAACCAAAUCAAACCAGAUGGAAUUCCUUCCACCGCAUGCAGACAAGCAAAGUUUGAUGCACAGCACUGCUCAUACCUUUCCACUGACUUCACACACCUGUUCGCCACCAUUACCUGUUUUUAGCCCUACUACAACACGUGAUGAAGGGCAGGUGAAGGCGAGAAGGAACGCCUUCCUGCAACUAAAGAAAGUGAGCUGAUCCUGAGGGAAAACGGUCGGAAAAGUAUGAAAGGUCCAAAAUAUCCAGACGGUGAGGAUGAAAGGCAAAAGGCAUUGAAAAGCUGAGCGACAUUAAAGAGUGACAAGCCACGGAUAAGAAUAUCUGGAGGAAACACCAGGAUUGAACAAGAGGAGAAUCAGCAGUCCAAGAAGAAGAAGAAAAAGAAAAAGAACAAUGGAGGGAGACAGAAAAUAUGUCGGGUUAGUCUGGAUUUGAGCUCAGCCAGAAAACACCCAGAAUCUCUGAAAGCAGGAAUGAAAAUAUUUUUUCUCCACGUGUGAAGGUGAAAAAGACCAAAAAUCUUUUCUUGGACUCACUCUUCGAAGACGUCCUCUGUGUCCAUCCGUCUGUAGUAUUUGGCCAGUUUGACGGAAAAGACGAUGCUGGGAA